GUGUGUGUGUGUGUGUGUGUGUGUGUGUGUGUGUGUGUGCACGAUUUCAGUGGGAGGCUCCUCUCAAUAAAAGGGGUGGGCUACUUCUACAGAAAUACCCCAGAGGCUGAGGAGGGCAGGGGAGACAUGGCUGGUGAGGACUUAGGAGAGAGUGAUACUAGACAGGCGUGGGAAGAUGAGGAGGAGGUUUGAGACGGCCAGGGGAAAGCGAGGGGUGGGGCUGGCCCAGCUUUGGUUUUGUUUUGUUUUGUUUUUUUUUUCCGAGACAGGGUUUCUCUGUGUAGCCUUGCCUGUCCUGGAACUCACUCUGUAGACCAGGCUGGCCUCGAACUCACAGAGAUCCACCUGCCUCUGCCUCCCGAGUGCUGGGAUUAAAGGGGUGUGCCACCACCGCCUGACUAUGCCCAGCAUCUCAAUAUCCCUGGGUCUGUCACUAUCACUAGGAAGGAAAGAGACAAGGGUCACCAUGCCCAUCUCCCCAGCACACUGGGGAGGCUGAGGCAGGAGCAUUAGCCUACACUAGUAACAAGACCAUAUCUCCAAAACAAGAAGAAAAAAAUAAAGGGAAGGGAAGGAAUGUGAGCUGUAAGGAAGGAGAGGGAGAGAAAUUGAAGCUGUGAGCUGACAGCCGUCAUGUAUUUCAAGGCCUUGGUGACAGGGUCACCACCACCUCCAGAGCUGUCCUAUUGCUGUGACUUAGUGUGUGUACACGUGUGUUUAUGAGACAUGCAUGGCUUGCAUGACUCUUCCACAUAUGCAGAAUGUACAUUGAGAAUAAAACUGGAGGGCUCCCGCAGUGAUGCCCGCGACACUGCUGGUGGUCUGGAGCGUGCUUUGUUAGGACAGUGCUGUCAUAGCCGAGGUCUCACGGGAGAAGGCGCCUGUCUCUGUUCGGGAUGCGACUGUGUGUGCCCACAGGACCAGAGGACAGCUUAGCACUCAGGCCUUGCCUUCUGCCUUGAGAUUUUUUGUUCACCCCGAAUUCCUCAGGUUAGCUGUUCAACAAGCUUCAGGGAGUCUCUGGUUUCCACCCCCACCUUGCCACAGGAAUGCUGCUCUGUCCUCCUUGUGUGGGUCCUGAGGACUGGAGCUCAGACCCUCAUGACUACAGCAAGCAGGGCUAGUGUGUGUGUGGUAUGGACACACAAGAUUUCCAAGGCGUGUCUGGAGUUUCCUUGCCUCUUGGGACAGACUCCCACACGGACCCUGACAAGGGGCUGUGGGAGCUUGUGAGGUUCUGUGGGAAUCAGGAGGCGCAGAAAGAGACAGUUCUGGAAAACCAAGGCUCUGCUCUGGGGCUUCAGAGUGACUUCAGGGUGGAGGGCAGCCUCAGGUGGUCCCGCCCAGACCGGGGCACAGGUUCCUGUGGCCGAUGCCUCUGCUGCCAAGCAUGGUGGAGCAUGGCUAACGACUCAGAGGCAGAGGCGGGCGGCCAGCUCUAUGCAGGAAUUCCAAGUCAGCUGGACUGUAUAUCCCAGAUGUGUAAAUAAACACAAGGAGCAUUUUGUUACUGGCAGA